rnacentral:rRNA from 1 species
CCUACGGGCGGCUGCAGUCGAGAAUCAUUCACAAUGGGGGAAACCCUGAUGGUGCGACACCGCGUGGGGGAAUGAAGGUCUUCGGAUUGUAAACCCCUGUCAUGUGGGAGCAAAUUAAAAAGAUAGUACCACAAGAGGAAGAGACGGCUAACUCUGUGCCAGCAGCCGCGGUAAUACAGAGGUCUCAAGCGUUGUUCGGAAUCACUGGGCGUAAGGCGUGCGUAGGCUGUUUCGUAAGUCGUGUGUGAAAGGCGCGGGCUCAACCCGCGGACGGCACAUGAUACUGCGAGACUAGAGUAAUGGAGGGGGAACCGGAAGUCGCGGUGUAGCAGUGAAAUGCGUAGAUAUCGAGAGGAACACUCGUGGCGAAGGCGGGUUCCUGGACAUUAACUGACGCUGAGGCACGAAGGCCAGGGGAGCGAAAGGGAUUAGAUACCCUUGUAGUC